CCGGACCCGACUGCUAUUUGGCUGAGGAUAGCCCAUGCGAGUUGAAUGGGAUACCUAAAGUUCCCAUGGCAAACUGCUCAGUAACACAUGAUCAACUUACCCUAUAGAGAAGAAUAACCUCGGGAAACUGAGGAUAAUGUUUCAUAGUUGAAUUGGGUUGGAAAAGUUUUUCGACCAAAGGGGUAAAAAAAAUGGUUUUUUUCUGCUAUAGGAUAGGAUCGUGUUCGAUUAUGGUUGUUGGUGACGUAAUGGCUCACCAAGCCUAUAAUCUAUAGGGGCCGUGAGAGCGGGAGCCCCGAGAUGGGUACUGAGACAACGACCCAGGCCUUACGAGGCGCAAUAGGCGCGAAACCUCCGCAAUACACGAAAGUGUGACGGGGUUACCCAAAGUGUUCAUUACAACUGUGGUAGGUGACUAAUGUUCCAUACUAUAAAGGAGAGGGCAAGGCUGGUGCCCUUGCCCUCGGUAAAACCAGCUCUUCCAUUGGUCGGGAUAAUUAUUGGGCUUAAAGUGUCCGUGCCGGUUUAGUAAGUUCCUGGUAAAAUCGGGUAGCUUAACUAUCUGUUUGCUCUGAAUAUGACUAUACUAUAGGGCGGGAGAGGUCUGAGGUACUACCGGUCUAGGGGUGAAAUCUGAUAAUCCUUGUGGGACCACCUUUGGUCAACGCGUCACACUGGAACGCGCCUGACUAUGAGGGACGAAAGCCAGGGGAGCGAACCGGAUUAUAUACCCGGGUAGUCCUGCCCGUCAACUAUGCAUACUAGGAGAUGGCUCAGUCUUGAGAUGUGUCUUUGCCCUAUGGAAACCGUUAAUUGUGCCGCCUGGAAAAGUCGGUCACGAGGCUUAACUUAUCCCAUUUGACGGGGGAGCAC
rnacentral:rRNA from 1 species